rnacentral:rRNA from 1 species
GACGAACGCUGGCGGCGUGCUUAACACAUGCAAGUCGAACGGAAAGGCCCUGCUUUUGUGGGGUGCUCGAGUGGCGAACGGGUGAGUAACACGUGAGUAACCUGCCCUUGACUUUGGGAUAACUUCAGGAAACUGGGGCUAAUACCGGAUAGGAGCUCCCGCUGCAUGGUGGGGGUUGGAAAGUUUCGGCGGUUGGGGAUGGACUCGCGGCUUAUCAGCUUGUUGGUGGGGUAGUGGCUUACCAAGGCUUGGACGGGUAGCCGGCCUGAGAGGGUGACCGGCCACAUUAGGCCUGAGAUACGGCACAGACUCGUACGGGAGGCAGCGGUGGAGAAUAUUACACAGUGGGAGGAAGCCUGAUGCGGCAACGCCGCGUGCGGGAUGACGGCCUUCGGGUUGUGAACCGCAGUCGCCUGUGACGAAGCGUGAGUGACGGUAAUGGGUAAAGAAGCACCGGCUAACUACGUG